CCAACACUUGCCAAACUUCAUUGCCUUCUACAAUUGAUGAUCAGCAUGGCCAGUUAAUUAACACUCAGGUGAAUCCAACGAAUGAGUUAUCAAAAUUAGUCAGCCAACACAAAUAUGACGAAGCUUUCGCUGCAGCCUUACGAAUAAGUGAUGUGCCCAUUGUAUAUUCGUUAUGCUCUCAGGUUGAUUUACGGUGUGUCUUAUCUAUAGAUCCUCUUCCGUUGAGCCAAAUAGUAUUGCUUUACCUUUUGCGGCAUUUAACAUAUGGUAUCAAUAACAACAUACCCUAAAAAAUUGGUUGGAUAAUAGAUGUUGCUAAUGCCAUAAUCCCAACAGACCCAAUGAUUGCAAUGCAUGUACAGCCAAUCCUCAAUGAAGUCUAUGGCUUUCUCAAUCAUCAACAAUACUUGCCUACAAUCACUAGUGAUGAGCUCUCAAGUAUCCGUCGUCUGAUGCAUGUAAUUUAUUCCAAGAUCAUGUAAUAUGCCAACAACUGAUUUGUUGUGUAUAAUCAAAGUCAUUCCUUUGAUGUUGGCUUUAUAUUUUGUGUUUUCAUGUAACCGUGAAUGUUUAGAUC